GGCGGAGGCGGAGGAGCGCGCGGGCUCGGUGUCGCGGCGCGCGUCGGCGGCGAGCGGCGGGUCGGCGCCGCGCGUGCUGGAGCGCAAGGUCCUGAACACGGAGCGGUUCAACAACGGCGCGCGGGUGUGGCGGCGGCGCGCGGGCGGGGCGGGUCGCGGGUGGGGCCGGCAGCGCGCGGCAGUGCGCGUGCUGCUGGCGUGCAGCGGGCUGUUCUACGCGCUGUCGCUGCUGACUUUCUACUUUUUGAGUCUGGCUUGAGCGUCGCGGCCGACUUUCGCUUUUCCGCUUCGAGUCGGAGGCGAGGUGCCGCCGCGGUCGACGCGCCCGCUCGCUUCGUUCGUCCCCUGCCGCCGUCGAGUCGUAAUAGUGCCAUAGCGGCUGGAGCUAAUAUUAUGUUAAUGGUUUGCUAAGUUUUAAUGAGAUCCGCCGACGAUGCGCCUCCCCGGUGGGGAAUCUCGGAUCGGAUCGAAGUGAUUAGUGAUUAAGUUAUUUGUUUUCUUCCUUUAUUUUGUGUGUAAAACAGGCAAUCUUUUAUACUCGUAAAUGUUAAGUUUAUCAAUCGAUGAUAUUAUUAUUAUGCAUUCUCGAGCGGAAGCUUUUGCUUUAAAAGUAGAUGAAUGCCUUGUUAAAAAUUACAAAUUUUAGUAAAAAACUGUUUAAUUAUGAAAUUAAAUAAUUAUGUUGUUGAUUUGAGUGCUGAAACAAAAUUAUGGUCUGCAUUGUAUUAUGGUCGCCCAAUAAAAACUGUCAGUAAUUGCGCAUUGUCACAAGCACAGGUCACAAGGGGAUCCAAAAUACAAAUUUAUCUCGGCAGGUGGCGCAUCGUCGGUCUGGUCACUGUCAGCUAUCAAUCGCACAUGUUUUGUUUUAGUUUCGAACAUCUUGGUUUUGUUUUACUGAUUUUUAUUGUAAUAAUGUUGAAAAAAAUUGACAAGAAAGUCAAACUCUCUUGAUUAUCCAACAAAUCACAAAUAAAUAGCCAAAGUAUAUAAAUUCUAAUAACAUUUUGAAAGAUUGAUAUGCCCAGACCGACGCUGGCGCCAUCUGCGGAAAACUUUGCGUAUGGAACCCCUACAUACCGAAAACGACUAAUGAAAUCGUGGUACUAGAUUAGUGGUAUAAAAAUAAAAUUGUGUUUUAUU